CUAUUGGAGAAGCUCGGACAUUGAUGAAGUUCGGAGUAAAGUUGCUUGUGGCAGGAGGAAGUCUGGAAGAGAUUCAGAGGAUAGCCAAUCACUGUAGAAAGUCGGCUGAUAAUGAAGCCCAGAGAGCAUUUGAAGCAGUCCGGUAGAUGAAUGGGGGAGCUCAUUAUUGGAGAAGUCCAGGUGGCAUUAUGGAAGCUCGGACUGUUGGGGGAGUUCAGAAAGAUACCACACA
rnacentral:lncRNA from 1 species